CCUACGGGCGGCAGCAGUGAGGAAUAUUGGUCAAUGGCCGGAAGGCUGAACCAGCCAAGCCGCGUGAAGGACGAAGGUGCCAAGCAUUGUAAACUUCUUUUGUCAAGGGACAAAAUCAGGCUCGAGAGCCUGACCGAGGGUACUUGAAGAAAAAGCAUCGGCUAACUCCGUGCCAGCAGCCGCGGUAAUACGGAGGAUGCGAGCGUUAUCCGGAUUUAUUGGGUUUAAAGGGAGCGUAGAUGGGUUGUUAAGUCAGUUGUGAAAGGUGGGGGCUCAACCGUAAGAUUGCAAAUGAUACUGGCAGUCUUGAGUACAGGUGAGGUAGGCGGAAUUCGCGGUGUAGCGGUGAAAUGCUUAGAUAUCGCGAAGAACCCCGAUUGCGAAGGCAGCUUACUAGACUGUAACUGACAUUGAGGCUCGAAAGUGUGGGUAGCAAACAGGAUUAGAUACCCCAGUAGUC
rnacentral:rRNA from 1 species